rnacentral:rRNA from 1 species
ACGAACGCUGGCGGCGUGCUUAACACAUGCAAGUCGAACGGAAAGGCCCUGCUUUUGUGGGGUGCUCGAGUGGCGAACGGGUGAGUAACACGUGAGUAACCUGCCCUUGACUUUGGGAUAACUUCAGGAAACUGGGGCUAAUACCGGAUAGGAGCUCCUGCUGCAUGGUGGGGGUUGGAAAGUUUCGGCGGUUGGGGAUGGACUCGCGGCUUAUCAGCGUGUUGGUGGGGUAGUGGCUUACCAAGGCUUUGACGGGUAGCCGGCCUGAGAGGGCGACCGGCCACAUUGGGACUGAGAUACGGCCCAGACUCCUACGGGAGGCAGCAGUGGGGAAUAUUGCACAAUGGGCGGAAGCCUGAUGCAGCAACGCCGCGUGCGGGAUGACGGCCUUCGGGUUGUAAACCGCUUUCGCCUGUGACGAAGCGUGAGUGACGGUAAUGGGUAAAGAAGCACCGGCUAACUACGUG